AAAAACAAAACUCACUAUGAUAAUACGUGUGAUAUACCUAUCGUGAAUAAAGUCUAUCUCAUUUAAAACUAGGGAAAAUGAUCUAAGCUAUGCCGGACAACCCUCCAUUUAUGCCUUGAGGCCCCUCUGCAAUGAAGAUGGACUACGAUUUUCCUUGCAUACAGUGUCGCUCAUCAACAUGCCUCCCUGGAAUCUCAAUUUAUUCCGCUCCCUCC
rnacentral:lncRNA from 1 species